CCUACGGGGGGCAGCAGUGGGGAAUAUUGCACAAUGGGGGAAACCCUGAUGCAGCAACGCCGCGUGAGUGAUGACGGCCUUCGGGUUGUAAAGCUCUGUCUUCAGGGACGAUAAUGACGGUACCUGAGGAGGAAGCCACGGCUAACUACGUGCCAGCAGCCGCGGUAAUACGUAGGUGGCGAGCGUUGUCCGGAUUUACUGGGCGUAAAGGGAGCGUAGGCGGACUUUUAAGUGAGAUGUGAAAUACUCGGGCUCAACUUGAGUGCUGCAUUUCAAACUGGAAGUCUAGAGUGCAGGAGAGGAGAAUGGAAUUCCUAGUGUAGCGGUGAAAUGCGUAGAGAUUAGGAAGAACACCAGUGGCGAAGGCGAUUCUCUGGACUGUAACUGACGCUGAGGCUCGAAAGCGUGGGGAGCAAACAGGAUUAGAUACCCCUGUAGU
rnacentral:rRNA from 1 species